ACUAGAAAGAGGAUGGACUCUCCAAUGUCCUCUUUUGAACCAACUAAAUCAAAUCAAGAUACCUUCAAUCUAAUGAUCUUAAAACAUCAGACUAACAAAAAUGGGGAACACUAUGAAGUUUACAAAGUGUUAUGGUCAUUGAAGGAAGACCAAAGAACUAUAACAUAAUAGGGGAUUCUGCAUAGGGUCCUAGACCUGACAAGGACAUCAGUGGAAAAACUAAUCGGGCCCCUACAUGGAACUGAACCCACAGCUUCAUGAAUGCUGGGAAGCACUCUACCACUGUGCCACACCUCAGCCUUAUUUUUUACAUUCUGAGACAAGGUCUCAUCAAGUUGCCCAGGCUGACCUUCAACUUGUCAUCCUCCUGCCUCAGCCUCGCUAGUAGCUGGGAUUACAGAUGUGUACCACCAUGCAAAGCUCAUUAAUAGUAUUAUACCAGUGUUAAUUUUGUUUCCCGUACUUAUAAUGGUUAUGUAGUAUGUCAGCAUAAGUGGAAGCUGGGGGAAGAGCAGACAAGAAUCCCACAAUUUUCUACAGAAAAUCAUUUAAAUAUAUAAAAAAGUUGAUAUAUAUUCAAGAAAAAAAAA